rnacentral:sRNA from 1 species
AAGUACCACACGUACAUCCCGGUUCUCGGCGUCGUCCGCACCCUGCUGAGGGCGGCUCGCCACGGUUUGCCUGCC